GUGGGGAAUAUUGGACAAUGGGCGCAAGCCUGAUCCAGCCAUGCCGCGUGAGUGAUGAAGGCCCUAGGGUUGUAAAGCUCUUUCACCGGUGAAGAUAAUGACGGUAACCGGAGAAGAAGCCCCGGCUAACUUCAUGCCAGCAGCCGCGGUAAUACGAAGGGGGCUAGCGUUGUUCGGAAUUACUGGGCGUAAAGCGCACGUAGGCGGACAUUUAAGUCAGGUGUGAAAUCCCGGGGCUCAACCCCGGAACUGCCUUUGAUACUGGGUGUCUGGAGUAUGGAAGAGGUAAGUGGAAUUCCGAGUGUAGAGGUGAAAUUCGUAGAGAUUCGGAGGAACACCAGUGGCGAAGGCGGCUUACUGGUCCAUUACGUACGCUGCGGUGCGAAAGCGUGGGGAGCAAACAGGAUUAGAAACCCCUGUAGUCC
rnacentral:rRNA from 1 species